UACGUAGGGGGCAAGCGUUGUCCGGAAUCAUUGGGCGUAAAGCGCGUGUAGGCGGCUUGGUAAGUCCGCUCUGAAAGCCCGGGGCUCAACCCCGGGAGGCGGGUGGAUACUGUCAAGCUCGAGUCCGGAAGAGGCGAGUGGAAUUCCUGGCGUAGCGGUGAAAUGCGCAGAUAUCAGGAGGAACACCAAUGGCGAAGGCAGCUCGCUGGGACGUGACUGACGCUGAGGAGCGAAAGCAUGGGUAGCAAACAGG
rnacentral:rRNA from 1 species